ACAUCUCAACUCCUCACGGUUUGCCCGUGAUGAGCUUGGACUUUGGGGGUCUUGCUGGCCUGUGGGUCGGCUCCUCUCAAACAAAUCAGCUUGCCAGUGUUUGGUGGCGUCACAGGUGUGAUAACUAUCUACACUUGUGGUUUUCUGCCAGGUAACCUCCAGCAAUGGGGGCUCACUGGAGCUCACAAAUGUCUCUCCUCGGUGAGGACAGCUUUAAC
rnacentral:misc_RNA from 1 species